AUCUGCAUGGGAAACUGUAAGAUCUGGAAGUCACGGGGAGAGUAAAGUGGAAUUCCUAGUGUAGGCGGUGAAUUGGGGAGAUACUGAGGAGAAACACCGGUGGCGAAGGGCGGGUAUUCUGGAACAGUAACUGACGUUGAGGGCGGCGAAAGCGUGGGGAGCACCCAGGAUUGAGAUACCUUGGUAGUCCACCGCUGUAAACGAUGAAUACUAGGGUGUGGAGGGGUAUGAAACUCCUCUCUGUGCCGCAGUUACACACAUAUAAGUAUUCCACUUGGGGAGUACGACGCGCAAAGGUUGAAACUCAAAGGAAUUGACGGGGACCCCGCACAAGCAGUGGAGUAUGUGGUUUAAUUGGAAGCAACGCGAAGACCUUUACCAAUGCUUGACAUAGUAUAGAAUACAGGGGAGACAUUGUACUCUUUGGGGACAGUAUUCCAGGUGGUGCAUGGUUGUGUUCAGCUCGUGUCGUGAGAUGUUGGGUUAAGUCCCGCAACGAGCCCAACCCUUGUCAUUAGUUGCCAGCAUUAAGUUGGGCACUUUAGUGAGACUGCCGGUGAGAAAUUGGAGGAAGGGGGGGACGACGUCAAAUCAUCAUGCCCCUUAUGUCUUGGGGUACACACGUACUACAAUGGCUAUUACAGAAGGCAAGGAAGGAGUAAUCCGGAGGGAAUUCCCAAAGAUAGUCCCAGUUCGGAUUGUGGGCUGAAACCCGC
rnacentral:rRNA from 1 species